rnacentral:rRNA from 1 species
UGCAAGUCGUACGAAAGUUUUUGUUACUGUGGCGGACGGGUUAACACGCGAAAGAAUUUGCCUUUAGGAGGGCAACAACAACUGGAAGCUGCUGCUACUACCCAUUAUGCUUUCGAGUGAGAUGUAUUUUUGAGCCUAAACUCAAGUCUGCGUAUGAUUAUGUUGUAGGUGAGGUAUCGCCUCAGCAUCGCUACGAUCCCGAUCUGAUUGGAUAAUCCGACCCGACGCACUGGAACUGAGACCCGGACUCCACUCCUACGGAAGGCAGCAGAGUUUUCUUUUCCGCAAUGAAGCCUGACCUGACGGAGCCACCUCACGUGAGAAAGGACUGGCUAUGGAUUGUACUCUUCUUUUUUCAGAAAAUCUGACGUGACUUGAACAUGAAGAAUAAGCUACUUCUAAGUCCGUGCCAGCGGCCGCGGUAAUACGGAGGAUGUUAGUGUUAUCUAUUGUCACUGAAGCGUCCGCGUCUGUACCUGCUUUAAUGAUGCAACUGUUAAAUCUUGAGGCUCAUCUUCAAAAUCGAAACUGAAGCUAUUAAACGAGAGAAGAGCAGAGGUAAAGCCAAUUGCAAGGGUAACGUGGAAAUGCAUAGAGAUUGACAAGAACGCCGAUGGCGAUCUGCUGUUACUGCACUGUCACUGAUGCUCAAAAACCAAGGCUACGAAAGCAAAUGGAUUCACAUGCACCCCUGGUCGUAGACGAAGAACACGAAUAGUAGAUGUAGAACACAUCCUCGUGUGCAGAAUCAACGCUAACGCUGUACGACCCCGCCUGGCGCACAUGCUCGCGAAACUGAAACUAAAGAAAUUGACGCGCACCGCACAGCGUAGGAGCAUGAGUCGAUGUCGAUGCAACGACGCAUACCAUGACUAGACAUCGAGAUGAUCUCAUGUAAUCAGAACAUGACAUCGCUAUUGCAUGUAUACAGAUGCAGGGCAUGCUGUCGUCAGUCGUGACAUGAGAUGUAGGUCAGCACGGCACGAGCGCAGCCUCAGUUGAGUGACUUUAGGACUCUAAAAGAAUGCUGGGUGAAAAACAAGAAAAAGGGAGAAGAACCAAGACACAUAGUGCUACACG